rnacentral:rRNA from 1 species
GACAGAGGGGGCAAGCGUUGCUCGGAAUCACUGGGCGUAAAGGGCGCGUAGGCGGGAUGGCAAGUCGGUCGUGAAAUCCUUCGGCUCAACCGAAGAACGUCGGCCGAUACUGCCGUUCUUGAGGGAUGCAGAGGAGAUUGGAAUUCCCGGUGUAGCGGUGAAAUGUGUAGAGAUCGGGAGGAACACCAAUGGCGAAGGCAGCUCGCUGGGACGUGACUGACGCUGAGACGCGAAAGCGUGGGGAGCAAACAGG